UUCCCCAUGGUCCAGUGGCUAAGACUCUGCACUCACAAUGCAGGGGGCCCGGGUUCAAUCCCCGGUCAGGGAAU